GAUGAACGCUGGCGGCGUGCCUAAUACAUGCAAGUCGAGCGAACGGACGAGAAGCUUGCUUCUCUGAUGUUAGCGGCGGACGGGUGAGUAACACGUGGAUAACCUACCUAUAAGACUGGGAUAACUUCGGGAAACCAGAGCUAAUACCGGAUAAUAUUUUGAACCGCAUGGUUCAAAAGUGAAAGACGGUCUUGCUGUCACUUAUAGAUGGAUCCGCGCUGCAUUAGCUAGUUGGUAAGGUAACGGCUUACCAAGGCAACGAUGCAUAGCCGACCUGAGAGGGUGAUCGGCCACACUGGAACUGAGACACGGUCCAGACUCCUACGGGAGGCAGCAGUAGGGAAUCUUCCGCAAUGGGCGAAAGCCUGACGGAGCAACGCCGCGUGAGUGAUGAAGGUCUUCGGAUCGUAAAACUCUGUUAUUAGGGAAGAACAUAUGUGUAAGUAACUGUGCACAUCUUGACGGUACCUAAUCAGAAAGCCACGGCUAACUACGUGCCAGCAGCCGCGGUAAUACGUAGGUGGCAAGCGUUAUCCGGAAUUAUUGGGCGUAAAGCGCGCGUAGGCGGUUUUUUAAGUCUGAUGUGAAAGCCCACGGCUCAACCGUGGAGGGUCAUUGGAAACUGGAAAACUUGAGUGCAGAAGAGGAAAGUGGAAUUCCAUGUGUAGCGGUGAAAUGCGCAGAGAUAUGGAGGAACACCAGUGGCGAAGGCGACUUUCUGGUCUGUAACUGACGCUGAUGUGCGAAAGCGUGGGGAUCAAACAGGAUUAGAUACCCUGGUAGUCCACGCCGUAAACGAUGAGUGCUAAGUGUUAGGGGGUUUCCGCCCCUUAGUGCUGCAGCUAACGCAUUAAGCACUCCGCCUGGGGAGUACGACCGCAAGGUUGAAACUCAAAGGAAUUGACGGGGACCCGCACAAGCGGUGGAGCAUGUGGUUUAAUUCGAAGCAACGCGAAGAACCUUACCAAAUCUUGACAUCCUUUGACAACUCUAGAGAUAGAGCUUUCCCCUUCGGGGGACAAAGUGACAGGUGGUGCAUGGUUGUCGUCAGCUCGUGUCGUGAGAUGUUGGGUUAAGUCCCGCAACGAGCGCAACCCUUAAGCUUAGUUGCCAUCAUUAAGUUGGGCACUCUAAGUUGACUGCCGGUGACAAACCGGAGGAAGGUGGGGAUGGCGUCAAAUCAUCAUGCCCCUUAUGAUUUGGGCUACACACGUGCUACAAUGGACAAUACAAAGGGCAGCGAAACCGCGAGGUCAAGCAAAUCCCAUAAAGUUGUUCUCAGUCCGGAUUGUAGUCUGCAACUCGACUACAUGAAGCUGGAAUCGCUAGUAAUCGUAGAUCAGCAUGCUACGGUGAAUACGUUCCCGGGUCU
rnacentral:rRNA from 1 species